GAUGAACGCUGGCGGCGUGCUUAACACAUGCAAGUCGAACGGUGAAAGAGGAGCUUGCUCCUCUGGAUCAGUGGCGAACGGGUGAGUAACACGUGAGUAACCUGCCCCAGACUCUGGGAUAAGCACUGGAAACGGUGUCUAAUACCGGAUACGAGCUUCAGCCGCAUGGCUAGGAGCUGGAAAGAAUUUCGGUCUGGGAUGGACUCGCGGCCUAUCAACUAGUUGGUGAGGUAAUGGCUCACCAAGGCGACGACGGGUAGCCGGCCUGAGAGGGUGACCGGCCACACUGGGACUGAGACACGGCCCAGACUCCUACGGAGGCAGCAGUGGGAAUAUUGCACAAUGGGCGCAAGCCUGAUGCAGCAACGCCGCGUGAGGGACGACGGUCUUCGGGUUGUAACCUCCUUUAGUAGGGAAGAAGCGAAAGUGACGGUACCUGCAG
rnacentral:rRNA from 1 species